UACAGAGGUCCCAACCGUUGUUCGGAAUCACUGGGCGUAAAGGGUGCGUAGGCGGGUCUUUAAGUCAGGGGUGAAAUCCUGGAGCUCAACUCCAGAACUGCCUUUGAUACUGAAGAUCUUGAGUUCGGGAGAGGUGAGUGGAACUGCGAGUGUAGAGGUGAAAUUCGUAGAUAUUCGCAAGAACACCAGUGGCGAAGGCGGCUCACUGGCCCGAUACUGACGCUGAGGCACGAAAGCGUGGGGAGCAAACAGG
rnacentral:rRNA from 1 species